rnacentral:rRNA from 1 species
UACGUAGGAGGCAAGCGUUGUCCGGAAUUACUGGGCGUAAAGCGCGUGUAGGUGGUGGGACAAGUCUGCUGUGAAAGCGCCUGGCUUAACCGGGCGAGGUCGGCGGAAACUGUCCGACUCGAGGACGGUAGAGUGGGGUGGAAUUCCCGGUGUAGUGGUGAAAUGCGUAGAGAUCGGGAGGAACACCUGUGGCGAAGGCGGCCCCCUGGGCCGGCCCUGACACUGAGACGCGAAGGCGUGGGGAGCGAACGGG